rnacentral:rRNA from 1 species
CCCUUCGGGGCUCUCUGGUGAUUCAUAAUAACUUCUCGAAUCGCAUGGCCUUGCGCCGGCGAUGGUUCAUUCAAAUUUCUGCCCUAUCAACUUUCGAUGGUAGGAUAGUGGCCUACCAUGGUGGCAACGGGUAACGGGGAAUUAGGGUUCGAUUCCGGAGAGGGAGCCUGAGAAACGGCUACCACAUCCAAGGAAGGCAGCAGGCGCGCAAAUUACCCAAUCCCGAUACGGGGAGGUAGUGACAAUAAAUACUGAUACAGGGCUCUUUUGGGUCUUGUAAUUGGAAUGAGUACAAUCUAAAUCCCUUAACGAGGAACAAUUGGAGGGCAAGUCUGGUGCCAGCAGCCGCGGUAAUUCCAGCUCCAAUAGCGUAUAUUAAAGUUGUUGCAGUUAAAAAGCUCGUAGUUGAACCUUGGGCCUGGCUGGGCGGUCCGCCUCACGGCGUGCACUGCUCCGGCUGGGUCUUUCCUUCUGGGGAGCCCCAUGGCCUUCACUGGCUGUGGGGGGAACCAGGACUUUUACUGUGAAAAAAUUAGAGUGUUCAAAGCAGGCCUUUGCUCGGAUACAUUAGCAUGGAAUAAUAGAAUAGGACGUGUGGUUCUAUUUUGUUGGUUUCUAGGACCGCCGUAAUGAUUAAUAGGGAUGGUCGGGGGCGUCAGUAUUCGGCUGUCAGAGGUGAAAUUCUUGGAUUUGCCGAAGACUAACUACUG